GAUGAACGCUGGCGGCGUGCCUAAUACAUGCAAGUCGAGCGAACAGACGAGGAGCUUGCUCCUCUGACGUUAGCGGCGGACGGGUGAGUAACACGUGGAUAACCUACCUAUAAGACUGGGAUAACUUCGGGAAACCGGAGCUAAUACCGGAUAAUAUAUUGAACCGCAUGGUUCAAUAGUGAAAGACGGUUUUGCUGUCACUUAUAGAUGGAUCCGCGCCGCAUUAGCUAGUUGUUAAGGUAACGGCUUACCAAGGCAACGAUGCGUAGCCGACCUGAGAGGGUGGUAGGCCACACUAGAACUGAGACACGGUCAAGACUCCUAAGGGAGGCAGCAGUAGGGAAUCUGCCGCAAUGGGCGAAAGCAUGACGGAGCAACGCCGCGUGAGUGAUGAAGGUCUUCGGAUCGUAAAAAUCUGUUAUUAGGGAAGAACAAAUGUGGAAGUAAAUAUGCACGUCUUGACGGUACCUAAUCAGAAAGCCACGGCUAACUACGUG
rnacentral:rRNA from 1 species